UUCUAGUGUUCAUACUAGCUAAGUUUGAACUAAAUCUUUGAGUUAGGGAAUGUAUAAUUUUUGACAUUGCUAUUGUUUUGAAAAAUAUUAUAAAGUAAGCGUAAGAAACUUCAUUGACGCGACAUAUUUUUUAUUAUUUCUAGUUUACAAAAUGAAAAAGAAGAAAAUAUAAAAUUUACGUAAUUUAAAACAUUUAGCAAAUCAAAGAAUUUAAAGGAUUCCAAAAGGGAGAUAGUAAAGAGAGAUAAUUCUUUGUUUCUCGCUAGGAUUCUUUCAAGUCAUGCAGAGACCAGGGGAAAAACGAUUAUUGGAAAAAUCUCUGGAAAGUACUCGCGAAACUCAAUCAUGCCCUCGUCAUUCUAUAACAGUUCAGCAGCCUGCAAGACUUUAUAUGCGGAAUCGAGAAGUUGUGGACAGGGAAAUAUGCCAAUCGAUUCUCUGUCACCCUCAGCCGCAGGAUGUUGAAGUACCUUCGUGCGCUGAGUUUCAACCCUACGCAGUUGGGCCUCCAACAUUGAUUUGCUCUUCCGCGCCGUCAUUUCUUCCUCCAGCUAGUCUAUCAAAUUUGGGUAUGUUUCAUGGAUGUUUUGAAGGCUUCUUAUAACUUUACAGGUAUUCAAGAUUU